rnacentral:lncRNA from 1 species
AAUUAGACAAAAUAAAUGUCUAUUAUCCUAACAUAGAAUGUUAGAUCAGAUGUUAUAACAUUAAGCAUGUUAAAACAAAAUAUUCAGGAAGUACACACCAUCAUUAAACACAGCUGUGAUAGCUGGAAUAAUGAACAAAUCUAAGGAACUCCUUAAGAGCCCUAAAUAUUAUAUAACAGGCAUCAAUAAGGACUGCAACAAAAUACAAAAAAAAACCAGUAAAAAC